UACGGAGGGUGCAAGCGUUAAUCGGAAUUACUGGGCGUAAAGGGCGUGUAGGUGGUUUCGUAAGUCUGGCGUGAAAUUUUUCGGCUUAACCGGGAAAGGUCGUCGGAUACUGCGGAGCUAGAGGACGGUAGAGGCGUGUGGAAUUCCGGGUGUAGUGGUGAAAUGCGUAGAGAUCCGGAGGAACACCAGUGGCGAAGGCGACACGCUGGGCCGUACCUGACACUGAUGCGCGACAGCAUGGGGAGCAAACAGG
rnacentral:rRNA from 1 species